CUUGGUCAUUUAGAGGAAGUAAAGGUCGUAACAAGGUCUCCGUUGGUGAACCAGCGGAGGGAUCAUUACUGAGUACUACACUCUCUACCCUUUGUGAACUAUUAUACCUGUUGCUUCGGCGGCGCCCGCGAGGGUGCCCGCCGGUCUCAUCAGAAUCUCUGUUUUCGAACCCGACGAUACUUCUGAGUGUUCUUAGCGAACUAUCAAAACUUUCAACAACGGAUCUCUUGGUUCUGGCAUCGAUGAAGAACGCAGCGAAAUGCGAUAAGUAAUGCGAAUUGCAGAAUUCCAGUGAGUCGUCGAAUCUUUGAACGCACAUUGCGCCCUUUGGUAUUCCGAAGGGCAUGCCUGUUCGAGCGUCAUUAUCACCCCUCAAGCCCCGUGCUUGGUGUUGGACGGCCGGUUGAGCGAUCGACCCCUCCGAAAGACAAUGACGGCGGCCUGUGGUUCCCCCGGUACACUGAGCUUUUCAUCGAGCACGUAUCGGACAAGGGGCGCCCGGGACCCGGUCUUCUCCUCUCAGCAGGAAACUUCUCAAGGUUGACCUCGGAUCAGGUAGGAAUACGCGCUGAACUUAAGCAUAUCAAUAAGCGGAGGA
rnacentral:rRNA from 1 species